CAUAACUUUCCCAGGGAUUGAAGUAAGGCUGAUGGGCCUAUAGUUACCCACAUCCUCCCUCGAGCCUUUCUUGUAGGUAGGGGUAACAUUUGCCUUCCUCCAGUCCUCUGGGACAUCCUCCGUUCUCCACAACUCCUCAAAGAUUAUGGAGAGCGGCCUUGCGAUGAUGUCAGCCAGCUCUCUCAACACCCUCGGGUGGAUGGUGUCAGGGCCCAUCGAUUUGUAGGGGUCAAGCUCCUGUAAUAAUUCACGUACUAACUCCUCCUUCACUGAUGGUGGGUCAGUGUUUGGAUCAACCAGCAAUUUUGUUCCCAAAGCCUGGGACCCAACAGUGCUGGUAAAGACAGAGGUGAAGAAAGUGUUGAGGACCUCUGCCUUUUCAGCAUCAUUGGUGACUGACUCUCCUAUUCCGUUUAACAGUGGGCCUAUGUUUUCCUUCUUUUCCUGCUUAUGGUUGACGUACCUGAAGAAACCUUUCUUGUUAUUUUUGACAUCUACGGCCAGUUUCAAUUUGAGCUGGGCUUUUGCUUUUCUAACUGCAUCUCUGCACACUCUGGCAAUGCCCUUGUAGCUCUCGAUAGAUAAUCCACCACUUCUCCAUCUCUGGUAUGGUUUUUUUUUGGAUUUGAGUAGACCCAGGAGGUCAUGGUUGAGCCAAGAGGGCUCUUGCGCUGCUUACUUUCCUUCCCUUUAUAGAGGAUAAACUGGUUUUGUGCUUCCAAAAGAGAGUUCUUGAAGAACUCCCAGCUCUCACUAGCUCCUUUGCCUUCCAUGGAAGCAUCCCAAGGAAUACCUCCCAACUGAGCCCUGAGUGAACUGAACUUUGCUCUUCUAAAAUCCAGAACCCUUGUCUCAGAACUGACCUUCAGUCUGCUCAGCAGGAUCCUGAACUCCACAAUAUUGUGGUCACUGCAGCCAAGGCUAUCACUAAGUGAGAUAUUACAAAGCAGGUUUUCUCGUUUGUGAAUAGCAAGUCCAGCAGCUCCUCAUUCCUGGUUGGCACAUCUAACAUUUGUAUGAGGAAGCAGCCCAGGAACUUGGUGGAUGAUGUGCAAGCUGCUGUAUUGUUCUUCCAGCAGAUGUCUGGAUAGUUGAAGUCACCAUAAGGACCAGGUUCUGUUGGCCAGAAGCUUGCUUUAGUGCCCCAAGUAUCUCUUCAUUGGCAUUGUCAUCGUGGUUAGGAGGUCCCAAGUUGCAGGAAUGCAGCUAUCAGUGUCCGUUCUUAGCCAUGGCUGCAACAUUACAAAGCUGUGUUAAGACGGCUUUCCAAGUCCUCGUGUUCAUUCUCAACAAGUUUAAUAGGAUGCACUGAAAUGCUUGGAAUGGGAUAAUGCAAGUCCUUACAUUGGUCUGUGUGUUUUUCUUUUGUUUGGUGAGUGAUGGAAAAAUCCACUUGAGUUCCUGAGUAUUAAAACAAAUCAAUAUAGAUGUAUUUGUGGUAUGUUUGGUUCUGAUCCUUUUGAUGGAAAGGUAAUUCACUGAAAAUGCUCCAGCCAGGUCUCUUUGCUGUGAAUGGAUUUGUUUUGAUGUUUUCUUUCUUGACUGUGUCAAUGCAGGCAUUUACUUACUAAUUUAUGUGGGAAAAUGAAAAUGAAGACAUAGAAAUAAAAACUAUUAGACAUUUUAGACAUCCAUUGCGUAAGUAAUCAUUCCACAGCACUGUUGAAAGCAGAUUUAUUUUCUCCUCCCCUCUAUUUAUUCCAUAAGUUACUCAGAGUAAGAGUUGCUGAUCCCUUUCUAUAUCCACUAUCUUUACACAGGAUAACCAUGAUUUGGAUUCUGAUCUUAGGAACUUAACCAUGAAAAAGGGCAUUGAGAAUCAUUUUUUUAAUAAAGCCUCACUUCGGAGUCUUAGUUUUGAUAAUCUUGUUGCCUUAUACUGCAGCUCUUCUAGACUUUCCUGAUCCUUCUGUGACAAAGCAGCUGCAGUUGUCUAAGGAAGUGUACUAGACCCAGCCUGCCGCAGUGCUUGCAGUUUUAUAGUGAAUACUGAAGAUUAUCCUGUCAAGUAUGUUCCUCUUGUGAAGCUAUUUAUUCAGGUGAGAAGGCCCUGGAAAGCCCUUGCUGGAAGCCAAAAGCAAGCUUGCACGGGGCUGAUAAAAGACAGACUCUACCUCAUCAUCAGUUUUGGGCUGCGUGGCUUCACUGACACUGGAUUUGGGACUCCAUCCCAGAGCUUGAUGCUUUCAGGUUCAUUCAGAGAAGUCACAGACGCAGGUGAUGGGAUGCCUGAUGAGCUGUUCACUUGGGCUGUACUUUGCAGAUAUCUCUAUGAGGUACCUUUGAGCGGUCCUGUUCCCUCAGCAGGUGUGGAGCUGCAUGCCAGGUGGGGACAGCCUGCUGGGAGAAUCAGCAGCCCUCACUUCGGCGCAUGAGACAGCAAUGUCCCAGGCUCCCCUUUCUUCCUCUUUUGUAACGUGUUAGUGGAAACAGCAACUUUCUGCACAGCAGCUGCCUGGUUCAAAGCACUGAGACAUGGCUGGCACUGAGACAUGACUGACUUACAGGGCAGCUUUUGACAGACUUACAAAUAUCUGUACCUAGCUCCAUGUGGGUCUGCUGGAGUGUGUCUGUGGCCAAAUCUGGUUCAAGAGAUGCUGGAUAGACUGAAAAGCCCAUGACAUUCAAAGCAAAGCCAUAAACCAUGAGAAAGGGCAGGAACGGUUGAUGCCAGUUCUACCAGGAUCAUAAAAAAAAACAUUAAACAUUUCCUUUUUGAAAUUGGAUGCAUUUAAUCCAUUUAGAUAACAACACCAAAAAGAAGAAAAUUAGUUCUGGUAUGGACAUUCUUCAACGUUUCUGGAAAUGGUAUUUAAAGAGAGGCCUAGAACAGCGAGGAGGUUUUCUGUCUCCCUCUGGAGACAGGAACAUUCAUGGGAUGCUGAAAAAAGCUGGAGCCCCAGAGAGCCCACAUUGGAGCAUAUUCCCAAAUACAAGGACACCCAAAACAGAUGCAAGUCUUAACCUAAGGUGCACAGUGCUAUGUCAGUGCUAGUGUUUGUUAUUGUUAUGAUUGCAUUUUAAAACGGUGGUUCUUUUGAUCCAUACUAACUGCUGGGCAGAGAAAGAAAAAUAAAGCUUACAUAGAAAAUAACAAAAUUUUCUGGCUGGAGGCCAAAACUUCACAAGAGAAUACUGAAGCCUAAUAUGUUUUGUUUGACGUCUUUGUUUGUGAUAGAUGUUGACUGAAUUCAGGAGGAUGAGAGCACUUUGAACAAAACCAGCUGGGGAAGCCAGUUUGCUAAUUAUUAACCCUCUAGGGAAGAGACUGAAUUGGAAAUAUGCAUAUGAAACAUUCUGGGAAAAUAUAAAAAAUAGUGUAGAUCUCUUUGGAAAAGAAAUACUUACAGAAAGCAGAAAGGGAGGAGACAACUUGUGAUCUAUCACUGAAUUCCUCACGAUGGGUAACAAUUCAGUCCUGUACUACCGGGAGAAAAUGAGUCUGAUUCAGCAGUCCUGAGGUUGAAAUAAGUCUAACAUUAAGGAAUGGCUUCAGGGAAUGAAGAGAAGUUAUAUAUUUAUUGUGAUAUAAAUCAUAAGGGGAUGGGUGGAGGAAGACUAUUGUCAGCCUCUUGGCCACUUUGCAAUAAGGAAAGGGGAGAUUUUCAAAGCUGGAAAGAGGAGAGGAGCAUCAAACUGUGUACUAAGCCUUAGAAAAUAUUAUUCAAAAGCUCCUGUGAUAAAUAUUCAGAUACCUAAUAUAAAAAAAAAAAAAAAAAGAGAAAAAAAGCAUGAUAGUCUUUAGACAGUAGGCUCUGCUUUGACAUAUUUACAUCUCACUCCACCUGGAUGCUCUAAUACUUCCUGUACAACCUGGCCAGAGAGGUGGCUCUAUAGUAUGUGCAGGUAUUUCCCCCCCCCCUCCAUUUCAGGUGUUUUAGGAAUAGAAGAAAGGAAGAGUCAGAAAUGGGCACUAUACCAAAUUCCAGCACAGUUCAGUGUUUAACUUGUGGCCAGUCUUAGCUAUAAUUAUAUCAUGAAUGGAAACAGAAAAAAAAACAGAUUAAAGGGAAAAAACAUCCUGGUACAAAAAAUACCCCAAAGAUGGGAGAAGAAAUUUAGGAACAACUUUCACCAUUUGCAUAACACUGGAGCUCUUUUCCUGCUUGAUAUGUUGAUUGCAGCAUAGGGGCAUCUGCUGUUAGCAAGUAAGUUCCAAAAUAGAUGUAGCAGAAUGCAUUAUUGUUUAAAACAAAUAGAUCAUGCGGGAUGGUGGACUGCUUUUUUGUUUUAUUCCCCACAAUUCAGCAUGUAGUCAUUUUAGGUGUCAGAUUGUUAGAGAAAAAUCUUAUUAUUUUUAGGCAAGCUUUUAAAAGUUGAUUUGCUUGCUAAUUAAUUUAAUAUCAGAGAUGUGCAUAUUUUUUACUUUUUCGUGCUGUAGGUGGUAUUACAAGCUUAGCUAAAGUCCCAUCCGGUAGGCAAUACAAUAGCUAGCAAAGUACCUUCUGAACUUGUCCAUUUUCUGAUUAUUUGCAACUCUUUAGUUGCUUUGAUACAACUUGUAUGUGUAUGGACAGCUAUUACAAAUCAUGAACUGGAGUAACUAUAAAGUGUUGCCAUUUCCAGAAUGCUGCAACAGUCCCCUGUCCCUCCCAGACUGAUUUAAAUUGCAGCUGGUUAUGUAGAGAACACCUGUAGUAUUUUUGACAGAAAGCAUUAAACUGAAGCAUCUCAGAGUGACCACAAAUGAGUCUUAGUACGUUACCGUACACUUCAAGGCUGGAGGGGACAUCCUCACAUUUGCACAGGAAUUAAUGCAAAAGGGACCCAACCCUGACUCCUGCUGGUGAAGUGUGAGUUGUAUGAGAUGCCUUCGGUUGUGGGUCCUGCUGCUUUCAUCCUGCCCUUCUGAGAAAAACCCAACCACCAACCAAGCAAACAAAUCCCAGCAGGUGCGCUAUUCAAGAUGUGCAAGCAUGCAUCGCUGUUUCUUUGCUUAGGCAAUUACAAUAUUAAUAACAAACAAGUAGCCAAAUGACAUCAAAGCAAUGAUCAGCCAAGAAUCAACCAGUCUUUAUUUCUCUAUUGCAGAGAAAAACCUGGGCAGAGACGUGCAUUUUGCUGUUGUGCUGUCUAGUGGCAGGUACGGGUAAAAGGAUUCCCCUGAUGCUGGAAGCUGGGGUGGUCCAGACUCUGUUUACUGGCUUUACUACUAUCACUGUGUCAUCUUGGCCAACUCACCUGUUUUUUGCUUUGAGUAUUCCACAUAUAAAAUGGGGAGAAAAAUUAUUCUUUGGAGGUCUUCUAGGGAGAAUGAUUGCCAAGUACCAUGCAAAUUGCAAAAACAACACCUUGUUACUAAGGGGAAACUUGCUCACAGGAACAGUGUGAAGUACCUCAUUCCACCACUGUUUCCAGACUGCUUCUGAGGCCAGACAGAUACAUGUUUUGCCAGAAAAUUGUUGGUAAAAUUUAAUUUCCAAAGUUCUUUUUUCCAACUAAACUUGAAGUAACUUUUAUUCUCAGUUCGGGAUGAUAGCAGUAACAGGAAGGAGCUAAAAUGGCAAUGUAAUGAAACGGAUAAAAGAAGUCUAUUUUCAGUUAUGUAUUGGGUUAAAAAUGUGAGAUUACCAUCCCAAACUUGUUUCAUUACAGCAUUGUUAUGGUGUUAUAUUACAGCAUCAGCAAUCUUUUAAAAUCCAUGGUAUUGUUUAUAAAAAUAAACCAAUUGAAGGCAACUUCUGUUAAAGUUAUCUCUAGCACUAUGUUUGCGUUUGCUCAUGCUUUCUUUUUAUGUCCAAUGUUUGUGUUUAAACACGUUUUGUUAGAUGAAUAAAAUAUACUCUGACCUAGAGUCUCCACUAACUUUUGCUUUUAAAGUCAAGACUCUUGGGUUCCUUUUUGCUUGUUCCUACUUUGCCGUUUCUGUCAUGUCCUCUCUGGCAGGGCUCAUGGCUAUAAAAGUGUGUGGGAGUAAAGGUUAAAG